UACGUAGGGGGCUAGCGUUGUCCGGAAUCAUUGGGCGUAAAGCGCGCGUAGGCGGCCAGAUAAGUCCGGUGUGAAAGUCACAGGCUCAACCUGUGAAUGCCGCUGGAAACUGUCUGGCUAGAGUCCGGAAGGGGCGAGUGGAAUUCCUGGUGCAGCGGUGAAAUGCGCAGAUAUCAGGAAGAACACCCGUGGCGAAGGCGGUUCUCUGGGACGGUACUGACGCUGAGACGCGAAAGCGUGGGGAGCGAACAGG
rnacentral:rRNA from 1 species